GUUGCGUAUGAUUGCACCCUGCAGCCACCAGCAUGUCCACUACUGCCUGCUCCGUUCCACGGAAGAAAGCUUGGAUGUCCAAGAAAUAGAGUGGAUUAUGAUACGGUCUGUCACUUCUCAUGUAAUGAUGGCUAUAUAGGAUCUGGUUCUCAAGUAAGACGAUGUCAACACAGUGGAACUUGGAGCGGACAGGAGUUUGUUUGUCAACCUGUCACGUGCCCGUUACCUACCAAUGCUGUUCUUUUGGGAUGCAACUCUAGUACGAUAGAGAUGUUAUAUGGCACAGAAUGCAGAUUCUCUUGUACGGAAGGAUCUGAGGUGACCACUUCAACAAUAAGAUGUAACAAAAAUGGAAAGUGGAGUGGGGCAAAGCUUGCAUGUACAGGUAUAAUACCUGCGAACACUCAGUAGAAUGAAAAUGCAAAGGAGUAAUUCAGGUGGUUCGAGAAGUUUGGUUUCUUGAUAUUUUAAUGAUCGUGGAUGACAAAUCAAUUCACGGUCGUCAAUUAGCUGAUUAUAGUUUGCAAUGAUUUUAAAUUGCGGUGGUCGAUUUAAAAUUUUUGCAACCUUUUUUUUUCUGGUUACGCAGUCUAUUUAAUGCAUUUAUGCAUUGAUCUAUUGAUGCAAGAUCGCAGAAUACAAAAUCCUCGACGAUCUUCAAUAGCCAGUCAAUUCACAACUUUCAACAAUCUCACUGUGGUUUGCAAUGACUGUAGAUUUCGAUGAUCGAUCUAGAAUUGUUGCACAUUCUCAGUUUUAUUUCUGGCUAAGCGGUCUUUUCCUAGCAUCCUUACAUUGAUCUACCCUUGUACGAUUAAAUUCAAUAUCUUGAAAAUCUUGAAUCGGUAAUCGAUGAAGGAUCGUAAAUGUACUUUUCUAGUUUGCAAUGAUUGUAGAUUGCGAUAGUCGAUCUAAAAUCAUUACAAAUCCAAAUUCGUCUCUCUGGCUCAGGCUACACCACUGUCUAAUGCAUCUAUGAUUUGACAUGGUGAUGCACGAUCGAAUUCCCCAAACUCGACAAUCUUGAAUCACCAAUCGAUACAGGAUCUUAGGGAUUUUAGUUCACGAUGGUCAAUCUGACAUCGCUGCAACAUUCCUCCUUGUUUUUUUGCUGUGUUUAACACGAGAUUAAGCGGGGAUUGAUCGAUUUACCAUCGCAGAAUGGAUUAUCACUAUCUGUGUAACGGCACAUUUACAUUUUGCAAUGUUUAGUCUAAUCAAGAUAUCGAUACCGACUGUAACAAGGGAUGCAUUCAGGUCUCAUAGUACAGUCUUCCUUUAUGAGUGCUGAUUUUCUGGUGAGCUCGUUUCCCCCAUAGCUUUAGGGCUACAUUGCAAUAUUGUCACAGACAGGGACAGCUUGGAACUCGCUGCACAACCUCACGCAAGAAAUGAACCGACUAAAAUAACGCAAGGUUAAUCAGCCAGACACCAGAAAAAAGACUUGUUUGGGAAGAUUGAAAAUUGAAGAUUGAAAAGUUCAAGUUCAAUGCUGACCUUCAGUAAAGGACCAUGAGCCUCGACAAAAAUGAUUAAUUAAAGCGAUCACAUGUCCAAUGUACGUUGCCUUCACCAUCCAAUGGAACAAGACUCGAUUGUCUAAGAAAUCCGACAGUCUGUGUUGGGUCAGUCUGUCAGUUUGCAUGGAAUGCUGACUAUGUAGGAUACGGUU
rnacentral:lncRNA from 1 species